GUCCAGAGGUCCGUCUGUGGUUUUGGGGGUUUUUUUUGGGUGCCCCUAGAAUAAAGUACGUUCUGAAGUAUGUUGCACUGAAGUGAGGGGACCGAGCCGCAGCGGGAGUCAUGGAGGGCCAGAGCGCGGAGAUGCUGCAGGCCAGGUGGAGGCGGAGAAGUUGCAGCGCCUCCCGGUGCACAAAGAGCUGGAGCAAGAAUUCGACCUUGGCACCCUACCAGCUCCGGACCGCACUCCCGGACAGGCCGAGCUGCCGGCCCUGGCGCGGGACAGCACGCAGCUGCUCAUCACCGAGCUGCUGCCGACAGUGCGCUGGAGGAGGCGGUGGUAGCGCGCUUGCCGGUGCCCUCCACUCGCCUGCCCCACGGGAACCUGUUGUCCCGGCCACAGCUGCUCACCCCCUGGCAGCAGUCGCGCAUCCUAAGAGCAUCCGCCCAAGAAGACCACCUUCAUGUGGGACGAGGUGAGUGGCCAGUGGCGGUGCUGAUGGGACUGCAAGCUCGCCCGGAACCACAGCAUGGAAUGGCUGAUAAACGUGCUUGGGGGCACCGACCCCAUGGAAGCAGAUUCGCCAAGCAGAUUUAGGCCAAGAAGGAACGAGUGGCCAAGAACGAGCUAAAACGACCGAGGAACCUGGCCCGAGUGCACAAGAUGCAGAUGCCCAACUCAGUCGGCCUGCACCCUAAGAGACACCUGAGUAAGGAGGAGCUGAUCUGCGCACUGCAAGUGGCCAGUGACUCCACCGCCGCAGUGGGACGCUUCCAGGAGCACCUCUCCAAGGAGAAGAUGCCCUGAAAGUCCGGGAAGAAGAGGAAGUUUUAGUCCCUCUUUGAGGACUUUGUAACCGAGAAAAUGACCAGUUGGGGCUACUGAAAGUCAAGAACAGCAAGAAGCCUUAGCAGGAUGUGAGGGGGCGCAUCAACAAGCAAAUGAGAGAAGAGGCAAAUGAGCCAGAAAGGCAAAGAGAAAGGGGAUCCAGCAAAAGUAAGAGCAGGGGCUGGAGAGAUGGCUGAGCGGUUAAGAGCACUGACUUCCCUUCCAGAGGUCCUGAGUUCAAUUCCCAGCAACCACAUGGUGGCUAAAUAAUAAAU
rnacentral:lncRNA from 1 species